rnacentral:rRNA from 1 species
AGCCCAACAGCUAGCCUACCCAUUCAAAAACAACACCCAAACAUAAAUAACCCCAAAUACAUCAAAAAGCCAAAACAAACCAUUUUUCCACUCUAGUAUAGGAGAUAGAAAAAGAUCGCAGAGCAAUAGAAAAAGUACCGCAAGGGAAAGCUGAAAGAGAAAUGAAAAAACCCAGUCAAGCUAGAAAAAGCAGAGAUUACCCCUCGUACCUUUUGCAUCAUGAUUUAGCUAGUACUCUUAAGCAAAAAGAAUUUUAGUUUAAACCCCCGAAACUAAGUGAGCUACUCCAGGACAGCCUAUUAACAGGGCACACCCGUCUCUGUGGCAAAAGAGUGGGAGGAUCCUCGAGUAGAGGUGAUAAACCUACCGAACUUAGUUAUAGCUGGUUGCCUGGGAAAUGGAUAGAAGUUCAGCCCUCUAGACCUCUUUUUUCAAAUCAUAUUAAACUCCCCGAUCCAAAGAGCCCUAAAGGAGUUAGUCACAGGGGGUACAGCCCCUGUGACACAAGACACAACUUUAUCAGGAGGAUUAAGAUCAAGUUCAACCAAGGUGCUAUGUUUAGGUGGGCCUAAAAGCAGCCACCCCAACCGAAAGCGUUAAAGCUCAAACAUUCAGCCUCCUCUAAUCCCGAUAAUAAACUCUAAGUCCCCUAAAAAUACCAGGCCUUCCUAUGCAAACAUAGGAAUGAUUAUGCUAAUAUGAGUAAUAAGAAAGUAAAUGACUUUCUCCAAGCACAAGUGUACAUCGGAACGAACCCACACCGAACAUUAACGGCCCCAACCAAAGAGGGAAAUGACAAUAAUAGAGAUCACAAGAAAAACGCUCAGACAAAAACCGUUAACCCCACACUGGAGUGCCCUUUAAGGAAAAACUAAAAGGAAAAGAAGGAACUCGGCAAACACAAGCCUCGCCUGUUUACCAAAAACAUCGCCUCUUGCAACACAAUGUAUAAGAGGUCCCGCCUGCCCUGUGACUAUACGUUUAACGGCCGCGGUAUUUUGACCGUGCGAAGGUAGCGCAAUCACUUGUCUCUUAAAUGGGGACCUGUAUGAAUGGCAUAACGAGGGUUUAACUGUCUCCUUUUCCAAGUUAAUGAAAUUGAUCUCCCCGUGCAGAAGCGGGGAUACAAACAUAAGACGAGAAGACCCUAUGGAGCUUUAGGCAGCAAACAGAUCGUACUAAAUAUCCCCUAAUAAAGGAACGAAGCAUACGAAACCUGGCCCAAUGCCUUUGGUUGGGGCGACCACGGGGAAACAAAAAACCCCCAUGUGGAACGGGACUACCCAUCCUCCAAACAAGAGCCCCCGCUCUAAAAAACAGAACAUCUGACCUACAAGAUCCGGCAGAGCCGAUCAACGAACCGAGUUACCCUAGGGAUAACAGCGCAAUCCCCUUAUAGAGCCCAUAUCGACAAGGGGGUUUACGACCUCGAUGUUGGAUCAGGAUAUCCUAAUGGUGCAGCCGCUAUUAAGGGUUCGUUUGUUCAACGAUUAAAAUCCUACGUGAUCUGAGUUCAGACCGGAGUAAUCCAGGUCGGUUUCUAUCUAUGCCGCAAUCCUUUUUCAGUACGAAAGGACCAAAAAGAAGGGGCCCCUGUUAAAAACACGCCUCACCCCAACUCGCUGCCCCCAACUUAAGCGAAUAAUGGGACGCUCAAACCUCGUUAGAGAGUAUAACAU